GAUGAAGGAGAAACUGGGAAGGAAUGUCAACAUGCGAGCUAUGAGUGUGCUGACAGAAGCUGAAGAGCGGUAUAAUGACUUGAUGAAGAAGAAGAGAAUUGUAGAAAAUGAUAAAUCUAAAAUCCUUGCAACUAUAGAAGACCUUGACCAGAAGAAAAACCAAGCCCUAAAUAUUGCCUGGCAAAAGGUGAACAAAGAUUUUGGGUCUAUUUUUUCUACUCUUUUGCCUGGUGCCAACGCGAUGCUUGCACCACCAGAGGGGCAAACUGUUUUGGAUGGUCUGGAGUUCAAGGUUGCCUUGGGGAAUACGUGGAAAGAAAACCUAACUGAGCUUAGUGGUGGUCAGAGGUCCCUAGUGGCUUUAUCGUUGAUAUUGUCCAUGCUCCUCUUUAAACCUGCUCCAAUCUAUAUCUUGGAUGAAGUAGAUGCAGCUUUGGAUCUCUCUCAUACCCAAAAUAUUGGACAGAUGUUAUGAACUCAUUUCACACAUUCGCAGUUCAUUGUGGUAUCCUUAAAAGAAGGUAUGUUCAACAACGCAAAUGUUCUUUUCAAAACCAAGUUUGUGGAUGGAGUUUCUACAGUGUCCAGAUUUACUCAGAGUCAGAACGGAAGGGUUCCAAAGGAAACAAAUUCCAAGGCAAAAGGACCCAAAUGAGCACAUGCUAGAAGUUUAAAGUUCAAACUUAUUCCUAAACGUUGACCUUUUU